rnacentral:rRNA from 1 species
AGAACGAACGCUGGCGGCAGGCUUAACACAUGCAAGUCGAACGCACCGCAAGGUGAGUGGCAGACGGGUGAGUAACGCGUGGGAAUCUACCUAGCUCUUCGGAAUAGCUCCGGGAAACUGGAAUUAAUACCGAGUACGCCCUACGGGGGAAAGAUUUAUCGGAGUUAGAUGAGCCCGCGUUGGAUUAGCUAGUUGGUGGGUAAUGGCCUACCAAGGCGACGAUCCAUAGCUGGUCUGAGAGGAUGAUCAGCCACACUGGGACUGAGACACGGCCCAGACUCCUACGGGAGGCAGCAGUGGGGAAUAUUGGACAAUGGGCGCAAGCCUGAUCCAGCCAUGCCGCGUGAGUGAUGAAGGCCCUAGGUUGUAAAGCUCUUCAGUGGGGAAGAUAAUGACGGUACCCAACAGAAGAAGCCCCGGCUAACUUCGUGCCAGCAGCCGC